rnacentral:rRNA from 1 species
UACGUAGGGGGCAAGCGUUGUCCGGAGUUACUGGGCGUAAAGCGCACGCAGGCGGUCGAUUAAGUUUGGAGUGACAGUUGGUGGCUUAACUGCCAAAGUGCUUCGAAAACUGAUCGACUUGAGGGCUUCAGAGGGACACGGAAUUCCGGGUGGAGUGGUGAAAUGCGUAGAGAUCCGGAGGAACACCGAAGGGGAAGGCAGUGUCCUGGGGAGUACCUGACGCUCAGGUGCGAAAGCCAGGGGAGCGAACGGG